GACGAACGCUGGCGGCGUGCCUAAUACAUGCAAGUCGAACGAGAGCGACCGGUGCUUGCACUGGUCAAUCUAGUGGCGAACGGGUGAGUAACACGUGGGUAACCUGCCCAUCAGAGGGGGAUAACAUCCGGAAACGGAUGCUAAAACCGCAUAGGUCUUCGAGCCGCAUGGCUUGAAGAGGAAAAGAGGCGCAAGCUUCUGCUGAUGGAUGGACCCGCGGUGCAUUAGCUAGUUGGUGAGGUAACGGCUCACCAAGGCCGUGAUGCAUAGCCGACCUGAGAGGGUGAUCGGCCACAUUGGGACUGAGACACGGCCCAAACUCCUACGGGAGGCAGCAGUAGGGAAUCUUCCGCAAUGGACGCAAGUCUGACGGAGCAACGCCGCGUGAGUGAAGAAGGUUUUCGGAUUGUAAAACUCUGUUGUUAGUGAAGAACAAGUGCUAGAGUAACUGUUAGCGCCUUGACGGUAUCUAACCAGAAAGCCACGGCUAACUACGUGCCAGCAGCCGCGGUAAUACGUAGGUGGCAAGCGUUGUCCGGAUUUAUUGGGCGUAAAGCGAGCGCAGGCGGUUCCUUAAGUCUGAUGUGAAAGCCCCCGGCUCAACCGGGGAGGGUCAUUGGAAACUGGGGAACUUGAGUGCAGAAGAGGAGAGUGGAAUUCCAUGUGUAGCGGUGAAAUGCGUAGAUAUAUGGAGGAACACCAGUGGCGAAGGCGACUCUCUGGUCUGUAACUGACGCUGAGGCUCGAAAGCGUGGGUAGCAAACAGG
rnacentral:rRNA from 1 species